AGAACUCCGCUUCCGGCAACAGUGCAGCAACCGGGACAAGGGAUGGGAGGAAGAAACAGGGCAGGACUGCCUGCACUCAGUCACAGCUCUGGGAAUGGGAGUAUGGGGCAUGGACACAGCACAGUCCACGGGCAGCUGCUCAAGGGGUAGAUGGAUAAAGCCUGCACAAAUUGCAGCUGCUGUUGUCAGGGAGCAAACCUGGAGCUGCACCAAGCAGGAGCCGAGGGCAACCACAGUGCAGGCAAGGUGCACAUGAGAGGGCUUACCAACAGUCCCAGGCAAGGAAAAGUCAUUAGUCGGGUCUGGGAUCCAUCCAAGGGACUUCCAUAGACACAAAACUACCUAGAAUAUACACUCAGACUCACACUAGGAAAACUAGUCAGCAGGUGAAGAUCAGGCACAGAUACAGCUGCUGCAUAGUUCAGACAGGUUCUGAAGACCUGGGCCUGAGCUGGAGUUCCUGGGAUCAUGCAGAAGGUGCAGCAAGCGUUCAAUGAUCAUUCGGAAUCUGAAGUGGAGGAAUCUGCAUACCACCAGCUGCUGAACCACCUGAGGACCACACACCUACAGUUGAAUCCCCACCAUCACUGGAUGACUCACCUGAUUUGGAAACACCAGCAUCUGCAGCCCAGCCAUCUCUAGUGGAAUUGGCAGUGUCUGCAAGCCAGCUGACUGUCAAGAAACCACCGGGUUCUGAGGACCCAUUCCUGCUCAUAGCAUAGUCUGCAUCCAGGGAAAGCUCACCUGAGAUCAGAUCACCUGUGGGUGAACUUCCAGGUUUCAAGAUGUACACCUCUGACUCCACACAGGAUGGCAGUAACACGGUUGAGACUGUGUUGACUGCAGCAGAGAUUACAUUUGAAUCAUUGGAGAAUCCAGAGGCAUUUGGAGACCCCUAUCAAGUCGCCAUGAAUUAUGUGGAGGAACAUAAAAUUCUGCAGAUAUUUCAGGAGAUCACAGAAAAACUGGUGUUCCAUAAGCCUGAUGACCCCUUGCAGUUCAUAUUGCAGGAGGUGCAGUCUAUGAUAAAUGCCAGGGAAGCAGAACCGGAGGAGAACAAAGAUGUGUAGGUGUUUCUAUAGAAGAGGGCUUGUGCACUCCUUUUGGCCCCUACUGACCUUGCUGUUGUGGUAUUGCCACACCAUGCCUUCACAGCACCAUGUAGUCAUUGCCAAUAACUUGGAAAUGUCUGCUUGUCUGUCUCUUGCCUGGUUUCUCUGUUUUGUAUGCUUGUGCUUUCCCUUGGGUUGAAAUCCUGCAACAAAGUAUUGGUUUGGAAUCACAAACUGAGAUCUAAGCAUGUGUGGACUUGCAUGCACAUAUGGCACAUCUUGAAGAGGCAGGCCUGCUGAACUUCUAGGCAUAUAAAUGCAUAAAUCCCAUAUUUAGGCCACUCCAGACUCUGUCUUUCUGUGCAGAGAAACCUCACAGCUCAGACAAUGCAAGGACGAAAGCAAGUAGAAUUAAAAAGCAGCCCUGGACAGCCCACAGCCUUCUUUUUUCAUGCUGCAUUGGUGGCUUACUGUGUCCAGUGAUGCAGCAGCACCAAUGCCCAUCUAAUACUUUGAUAGUUUGGGUCUGGGCUUUCAGGCUGCCCCCAGAGCUCCUCUCAUGCAAGAAGCUAUCUCUCUGCCUCUUCCACACACUGGAUGCAGCUGUCUCACCCUUAAUUAUCCCUGCUGGACACUGAUCACUGUACUUUUUGGGGUUGCCCUGCCUGUGUCACUGUAAGCACAGUGUAAAACCAGAACAGUAAAGCAACAGAUGCACACACCCUUUAUGCAUUCAGAAGACAUUGUCACUCAGGAAUGUGGGAGGUGAAUAAAGCCAAACAAACCAAAACCAAGCCCUGGUAGCCCAGAGAAUUAAGAGUCAAGGUACAUUUCACAAACACAUCAUUUGAACUGCUCCUGAUUUUUGAAACACUUGCAAUCCUUGUUUUCAUACUACCCAAGUGUGUUUCUACCCUGUAAAAAAACUUUUUGUUUCUUCUUCUUGUCUCUUGCCUGACAAUUAUUGAAAAUGUGCAACAGGGCAUACUGUUAUUUUGGCUUAAUAGAUUGUAUAUGUGCAGUAGAUGCCAGAAAGAGUUUUUAUGUCACUGCAGGCUUUUCUCUUUUUUAGGCAAGUGCUCUAAUUUCCUGAUGAAUGGUAGUGUAUUCCCAAGUGACUGUCUCUAUGGCUAUGAAGAGAGCACCAUAAAAACUUCCAUCUAUCUAUUUUUAAAAAAAUAAUGUAUGAUGAUUAGGUUUUGUGAUUCUCCACAGCACAGCUUGGGCGCCAAGAGUCUGGGAAUAACAGGGGGCAAGUAUUUGGCAUACAAAUUCCAUGUGUGAGAUGAGUUUCCUUUCUAACUGAGUUUCUCAAGAAGGAUCAGUUAACUCAUGUGUUUCCAGAUUAAAGGCAGGUAAGCACCCCUAUCAUUCAUAGGGCAGGGACUUUUUCCAAUGCUGUUUGCAAGCCUAAAGAUGGCUCAAGAUUCAUAUUAAAUCUGCAUUGGUUUUAUAAGAGUUUUAGUGUAGAGUUAGGCAUCUAGGUCCCACUGCAGCAGUGAGAUGCUUUUGAAAUACCUACUUACCUCCAGCUGGAAGAAUCUGACACUGAGAAUCUGAGAUUGGUCUGCUUACAGAUUCUUGACCAAAAAUGUAUCAGGCUGAAAAACAUGUAUACGUGCCCUGUCCUAAUGUAUCUCUGUGAAACAGGAAGUGUAUGGAAGAUGAAGAUAGUGUCUGAAGCCUUCUCAUCUCUAUGGUCAUUUGUCAGCACAUUGUCCCAGGAGAUGGAGAAGCUGACAUGUCUUUGAAUUUUGUUGUAGAACAGGAUUAGGGUGCCUUGGGGUACAGCCUUCACUGUGUAUUUCCUGCUUCUGUCAUUUGGGUAUUGCAUUUUGUUGUUCUCUUUUACUUACAAGAAGCUUUUGACCUGUAAUAUGUUCUCAGACUAUAAGUAUAUGCCUUCAACUUCAUGUCAGUAUUAAGGGAGUUAUGCAAGGGAAGAGCCUUAAUUCUUCUUUCAGAUAGGUUGAAAUGAGCUGGAAAGCAUUCUUCAUACAGAUGACAGAAGUUUUGCAAGAGAGGCCGUACCCAGUAUUCCUCAGUAAUCUCAGAGCAACAAUUUUUCUUUGGUGGCCUGGCCACCUGAUCUCAUGCUGACAAAGUUGCUGUGUGGUAGCAAGAAGUCCUCCCCAGUACCCAUAAGAGAGAGCAUGUGUCUUUGUUUCUCAGGAAAGAGGAAAAGUGUUUUCUGUUUUGUCCUUCCACUAGGGAGAGGUCUCUCUCCUUUGAGGAGCCGCAGUUGUGUAGAAAUGAAUGAGGCUGUACCCAGGACAGGCUCUGUGGGCCUGGAGUUGGCAUGUGUAGAUGGCAUGAGACUGGGGAAGGCAGUGGGCCAAGGACAAUCCUUCAGCUUUCACAGACUUGGAGGGGGAGGCGGGUAUAUAUCAUCUCUGAGCAAGGACUUUGACCAGAAAUCUUGGGGAACUUAUCAUGAGCUAAGGAGAAAUGUCACUUCCUUCACCUCAAGCCUCUCAGAUGAUGGAACUGAAUUUUAUGAAAACAAAAAAAGCAUCCUCCAGGACGUUUGCAGAUUACUGUGUUUAAGGUAGUGUCACACAGCUGUCUUUUUUGACCUACUUCAUAAUUCUUCUGAAGAAUACAGUCUAGUUCUAGAAAAAUUCUACUUCACGUUAAGGCACCACUGUUUGUGUAAAAGAAGGCUUUUCUGUGCUGAAGAAAAGAAGAAAAGUUAGAUUUAAAAUGGAAACUUUUACUGUAGUCUUAAUUCCAGAGCGACUGUCCCUUUUCCACAAUUGCUUUCCAAAACCACUGGAUCCUUACUUCUUCCUAAGUGGAAAUUUAUCAACAUGACAUUAAACUGUCAUUAAAUUUCUUGCCUUGAGUGCUCAGAAGGAAUUAGCAGUUCCUCGUGUGUAACCGAAACUAUUCCAUAUAAGUCCUUAUAGGACACUAGUCACAGUACGUUUGAAUGCCCUCCAGAGUGCUAAGCAACGUGACUAACAGCUGUUGUUUGCUCUUUCUCCUCUCCACAAGGGAAAUGGCUGUGCACUGAAGUGCAUUCUUUUAAAAAGGGUGGUUUGGGGUUUUUUUGCCACACCUGUGUAUUUCAGUGUACUUCUAGUGGAUAAGUCAUGAAGUGGAAGGUGUGGAAGUUGGAGGCAGUUUGUAGUUCCCAAGGAUAAUUCCUCUGUAGUAUGAGCUGGGUACUGAGAAAGCACAUUAUUUUCAAGGAAGAGAUUUUUUUAUUCAUCCAUGAACAAGCACAGAGGUGCAACACCCAGUUCAUCUGCCAAAUGGCAUGAUCUUAUGGUGCCCAAACUGUUUCUGUUGUGAACUUUGUGCUCAUCAAGAGGCAGAAUGCAGAGGAGCCAAUCAGGCGGAAAGUAUACUCCCUGUAAAAUAGGUCUCUUGGACCAAAACAUCAGUUUCUUUUUCUGCCAUCUCUGUAUGGAACUUAAAAUGACUCAGCUGCCCCAAGCAAUAUUAAAGUUGCCUGUGUACUGCUCUAACCAAUGGGGGAAAAAAAUGUUGUAACAGCUGAUUAAAAAUCCUUUGAAAAGUU